CAGCGCAGUACGGCAAGAGAAGGAGAAUUAUAAAAUACUCCCCUGCUUUACCAGCCCAGCUUCUCCUGGUAUUGCCCUCCACCCUGAACCCUCCAGCUUCAACUCUCACCAUGCUGCUGAGCCACAGCCGCGGGUCUAGGCUGGGUUAAGCACAUGUUGUUUCCUCGUGUUCCCCGUGUGGCUGUAGAGUGUCCCCACCGAGCUGCUCACCUUGCUACAACUGUACAACCAGCAUAAAACAGACCAGUGCCCCCCAAGUAUCCUUCCCAGACCGAGCAACCAGGAGGAGUUCCAGGGUCUCAGGUGCUCGUCAGGGGGAUGCAGCUGUAACAUCAGGCCAAGACUACUCUCCCUGCUAUCAGAGCAUUUUGUGGCACUUAGAGUAACAUGCAGCCAGCUCAG